AAUGCCCCACAGAUGGAGUCAUCCAGAAGUUGAAUGCAUUACUUGGUGUCAGCUCUUCAUAGUUUCCUGCAUAGAGAGCGCAAGCAAGAGGUGAAGUUGCUGCUACAGGCCAGAGGCACUGGAACUGAGCUUCAGAGGGCAAUGAAGCGCCUGGAAGGAGACACAGCUGUCCCCAGCUCAGGGGAGCAUCUGGAAGGAGACACAGCUGUCCCCAGCUCAGUGGAGCACCUGGAAGGAGACGUCGCUGUCCCCAGCCCAGUGGAGCACCUGGAAGGAGACACCGCUGUCCCCAUCAGUCAGGACCGGUCCCCACCUCUGCAGUGCCUUCCUGUGCCUGGAGACCAAUGAUGUGGAUAAUCUGUGCAGAGGACAGAGCUGCACUAAGGUAGCUAAGUGGUGAGGGGGUGCUGCGGAGGGCUCUGGAGCAGAGCUGCACUAAGGUAGCUAAGUGGUGAGGGGGUGCUGCGGAGGGCUCUGGAGCAGAGCUGCACUAAGGUGGCUAAGUGGUGAGGGGAUGCUGCGGAGGGCUCUGGAGCAGAGCUGCACUAAGGUGGCUAAGUGGUGAGGGGAUGCUGCGGAGGGCUCUGGAGCAGAGCUGCACUAAGGUGGCUAAGUGGUGAGGGGGUGCUGCGGAGGGCUCUGGAGCAGGUGAGCUAACGGCGCCGGACGCCUGCUGGCGCAGGGCUUCUCUGAGCGGCGUUGCCGCAGCGUGAGUAGAUCAAAGCAGAGGUUCAAGCCCGUGUGAUAGCUUUCUUGUUGCUUUACACUGAAAACUCCUUUUGUUCUGCUAGUCCUUUCACCGGCUGCAGGCUCUGUCUGCUCUUUUCAGGCACAGAAUCUACUGCUUUAUUUCCUGCUCCUCUGUUCUGACUCUUUUACUUGGUCUGAUUUCUCUACUUCCUUAACUUCUGACUUGCUCUCCUCUUCUCUUGCCAGUGUUAGGAUAUGUGGGCUGCAUUUCAUUACCAUGGAGAGCAAACCUCAGCCGACAGUCCCAUUCUCUGUAUGCUGCAAAGGAUGUCACAGAUAAGAAAGAAAUGCUGGGGAAAGCCUUCUUGGAGGGACUAGAAGGCCCUUUCCUUGGUGUUUCCUCAGAGGAGGAAUGCUGGGGGUUUUUCAGUCCUGGUGCUUUUGAGCAGCUAAAAUGCAGCCAGGAAGUCCUGGGACUACCUCAGAAGGCAACAAAGGGAAAGGCAGAGGUAUCAAUAAAUGGUGUUUUCAGAGACCUGUCUGCAAGGGAGGUCCCUUGAGUUGGUGUCUGAAAGUGAACUUGCUCAUCUUGGCCUUUGCAUGCUGCUCUUCCUGUCUUCCUGAAGCUGAGAGGACAUCCCUGCCCACUGCAAAGGGAGCUGGGCUGCCUGAGAAGCUUCCAUGCCCUGCCCACAUUUGUUCAAGCGUUCUUCUUACCGUAUUUGCACUAACAGAGUGGCCCCUGUCACUUUAUUGAGAACAGAGUACUCUUGGCCCCAUCACCUGAAGGCUGCAGGGUCUGUUCAGACUCAGCUUCUGCCAGUCCCAUUGUUCUGCAGGCAACAAUGGACCAAAGUGCUUGUCACCCAGCUGCUUUAACUGAACUCAGGGCCCAGUCCUAUGAGGCAGUGAAGUCCUCUGCUCUUAUUGACUCAGUAGGAUUUGAGAGACUUGGGACCUGUUAAGAAACAGGACUUUGAUCUUCUGUUGGUAGCCUGAGCAUGCAGAGUGCAGCUCCUCCUCCUGCAUGCGCUCCUAAUACAUAGAGGAUUUGGGUACCUUUUGUAAGGGUCCACUUAAAUCCUGCUGCGUUGCUAGGGAACUGGCUGUGUCCACAAGCAGCAGACGUGUAGACAUUGUGUCCUACUGCUCUCUGGCAGAGUUGACUGUAAGAAAUGCCUUUAUUGCAGCAGGAUCUACUAGCAGUAGUAUAAAAAAGUAGUUGGUCAGCUUUUUUUAAUUACAGCUGAUUUAAUUUUCCCCCACAAACAGAAAUCCCUUCCCAGCUGAAGACUAGGCAUGUGGAGGCACCACCCAGAACGGAAUACUUCCAGCUGGUUUUUAAUUUGCUUGAGUCCAAGUACAGCAUUUGGUAGCUUAAGGAGCUUGGAUACUUCCUUCACUCUCGUACUACCUAAUGCUAUCACUAGUUUCAAGAUGCUGGUAAAAAGGGCUCAUUAUUUGUGUUUUCACAGUGUGUGGCUUCUCAGGUUUUCAGAUUGCAUUUAAGAGUAUCAGAAACAAAGAAACUUUGGUUUCUUCUCCCUUUCAUGGGCAUCAGGAAUGUCUGCAUUGUUUUAAAUCAGUGAUAAACCAAGGCUUGGCACCCCAGCUACCAAAGAAGUAAGUCUGCUGUUGAGACAGGACAGAAUCUGAGCAGCAGCGAUUGCCUGACCUGGAGCUCGUGCAGCACAAUACCGUGUCCGGACGAACCUCUAGAGGGUCUGUGAUGGGCAGCCCUGUGGCAUCUGUUGGCAAAUGUUGUGAUUUUCAGUCUUCUGACCCAUUGUGUUCCACAGAAUGAGAUUCUUCCUAAACUUGAUUCUUCCUGGCUUUUGUGACUGUAAGUAAGGUUCUUCUAUUGUUGAAACAUCAUUUUGGUGGUACAUUACACCAAGGUGCUGGCCUGAUCUGGGUUAUGUGGCUUCAUGUAACUGGUGAAGGAGCUGUUGUUCUUCACAGCAGAAGAGCUGCCGCUCAUCCAGGUCACCCACCUGAUUCUUGGAGCCAGAAGCAAACUUUUUGAAGUCUUCCUGAUUAUCAUGAUAUGUUUUACACUACUGAUCUUGAAUGCCCACGUUUGAAGUGUGUUUACAACAGUACUUAAAG